rnacentral:lncRNA from 1 species
AAUCUUAAUUCUAAUAGAAUACUAAUUAAACUCUAAUUAAGCCAUAACAAUGCUAAGCAAGCUUUAAUCAAAUUCAAAGAAAUCUCAAAAGAAUUACAAAGAAAUAAUAAAAAAUCUUAAAGAAAUAUCAGAAUGAUCACAAAUAUAUCUCAAAUAUAUUUCAAUUCAAUCUUAAUUUAAUCCAAGUUAAAUCUUAUUGGACUUCAUUCAAACUUUAGGAAAAAAACUAAAUAAAUCUUAAAUCCUAAACAAAUCCUAAUAAAAUCUUAAACUCUAAAUCAAAUCCUAAUCAAAUCUUAAAUCAAAUCCUAAUUAAAUCCUAAAUCCUAAAUCAAACCCUAACCAAAUCCUAAAUCCUAAAUCAAAUCCUAAUCAAAC